AAUGAACGCUGGCGGCGUGCCUAAUACAUGCAAGUCGAGCGACGCGGGCACGUGGGUGUAACACGUGUGUAACCUCCUAUAAGACUGGGAUAACUUCGUGGAACCGGAGCUAAACCGGAUACUUAUCGAUGGAUCCGGUCUGCAUUAGCUAGGUGGUCAGUUAACGGCUUACCAAGGCAACGAUUCAUAGCCGACCUGAGAGGGUGAUCGGCCACACUGGAACUGAGACACGGUCCAGACUCCUACGGGGGGCAGCAGUGGGGAAUAUUCCGCAAUGGGCGAAAGCCUGAUGGAGCAACGCCGCGUGUGUGAUGAAGGCCUUCGGAUCGUAAAACUCUGUUAGUAGGGAAGCGUUACUCAAUCAGAAAGCCACGGCUAACUCCGUGCCAGCCGCCGCGGUAAUUC
rnacentral:rRNA from 1 species